AGAGAUAUGCCUGCUUUCUCUCCUCUGCCUUCUGCCAUGGACACAGAGAGCCCUGCAUGGCAUCACGGUACCUAACAGCCCCUCCUGCCACAGGAGAACACUCUCACUGGACAUACAGGAGGCUUUUUCUGGAUACUGUGUUUUCCAAGUGUGGCUGAAAGUACACCUCAGUCCAGUUCAAGGACCCAUGCUGAAGAUACGGCUUUUACCUGGUGUCUGCUGUUCUUCUGGUGGUUAGAGGAUCAGGUAGGAACAUGCUAUAUCUUUUGAAGGGUCUGAUUAGGAUUAAAAAGAAUCCUGAGGAAGGACUUCCUAGGAAUUAAGGAGAGAAAGAAAGGAAGGGAACAGAAGAAAGAAACAAAAUUUGCAUAUAGGGGGAGGUAUAUUUCUCCACUUCACUGUGAGGUCACUUGGCAAAGGGCAUAGGCUUAAUCAUAUUCUAAAGUGGAGAACUCCAGAAUCUAUCAUAAUAGUUAACAGGAUAUGAGUGCAACACAGUGAUAUAAUGUGUUCAGUUUUAGAAUUUAGACAUGCUAAAUCUAAGUAUCUCUAGGACAUCUAAAUGGACAUAUAGACAAUAGAAUAGUUGGGUGAGGAAAAAUAUCAGAGGUGAACCUAUGAACCUGUUGGUCACUGGGUGUUAUAUAAUAAAUAAAACUGGAAAUAGACAGGAUUGUCUAAUCUGGGUGAAAAGAGAAAAAGAGAGUUACUGAUGGAUCCCUGAGAAGAACCAAUGUUUAAUCUAUGAAGAUGAAUAGCAUGUAGAUAAUCUGAGAAGAACGGUUAGUUGAAAAAUUUGGAGAGAGAAUGGUGGUGCUGACUAAACUAGAGAAGAAAGUUAUGAGAUGCAGGGAGUGAGAAUGAAUGAUCUGAUGAUGCUGAGAUUUGUUUUAAGUUGGCCUCCAUGGAGAACCUUUGUGAAGAAGGAGACCUUAGCUAACCUGAGAGGUUUCCUUUUAAAACUGAACAGCAGACCGAUGCUCACAGAAUCACUAGGAAAACAGUGGAAUGAUAGUCCUGGCACUCAGUAAAUGGUAUACAUUAUUAACCUGUUGAAAACUGGAGCUUUGAGGAAUUACUGCUAGUUUAACACAAAAUUUGAUGCUAGAAUAUUUUGCUUUGAAUUUCAUUAAGAGCAUUUUAUUAUUAGAGCCAGAGGAAGCAGAAAAAUGUAAUAUAAUGUGAUUUUAUGGCAUCACCCUUGAAGUUAAUUAUGAUGAAAUUCUAGUGUAGUUGUUUUCAUUAAUUUGAUGUUAAAAAGGGAAAUUGAGAGGGUUGUUGCAUCUCUGUGAUAUCUCUUAUUUAAAAGAUUUCUAAUCAAAGACAUUCUUAUCAUUAUGAUCUUUGGGCUGAAGGAGCCAUUUGUUCUUUGCCUGUAAAUCAUCUUGUUUUUAAGUUUUGU